CUACGGAAGGCACCAGGCGAGAAAACUUUGCAAUGUGCGAAAGCACGACAAGGUUAAUCCGAGUGGUUUGUGCUAAACGAACCUUUUGACAGUCCUAGAAACACUGUUGAAUAAGGGGUGGGCAAGUUCUGGUGUCAGCCGCCGCGAUAAAACCAGCACCUCAAGUGGUCAGGAUGAUUAUUGGGCCUAAAGCAUCCGUAGCCGGCUCUGUAAGUCUUCGGUUAAAUCUGUACGCUCAACGUACAGGCUGCCGGGAAUACUGCAGAGCUAGGGAGUGGGAGAGGUAGACGGUACUCGGUAGGAAGGGGUAAAAUCCUUUGAUCUAUUGAUGACCACCUGUGGCGAAGGCGGUCUACCAGAACACGUCCGACGGUGAGGGAUGAAAGCUGGGGGAGCAAACCGGAUUAGAUACCCCAGUAGUC
rnacentral:rRNA from 1 species